CGAAUUUAUAAAGCUCAAUUAGACCAAAGUCGAUACGGAAAAUGUGUUAUUUAUUAAUUAAAGCUAACUUUUUCUUAUUUUUAGAAGAAGUAGAAGAUACAAGGAUGAUAUUGAAAGAAAGGUAUCACUUUCUGGUCCAUUGAUGCAACAAGCACGCAACAUUUUGAAACAGAUGGAUGGUAAAGUGAUGAAGAAUGAAUUUGAUAUUCAAAUUCUUGAUUUAUUGGCGAGUUCUUGGCCAGACAGACCACCAGUUGAGAAAAGCUGGAACUAUUGAAGGAUAUGAAGACUGGUUUAUUAGAAGAAGGGAAAGCUACCUUACUCACGAAAAUGUCUUUGGAAGAAGGGAAGCCAGAUCCUGUCACAUAGAGGAUAAAAUAUUCGUUGCACCACCGAACUUAUGACAAGUGAUUUAUUUAUUCCAAUUAUGUUUGCACCCAUUGCUUGUGCGACAGCAUUGAAAA
rnacentral:lncRNA from 13 species